GAUGAACGCUGGCGGCGUGCCUAAUACAUGCAAGUCGAGCGAACGGACGAGAAGCUUGCUUCUCUGAUGUUAGCGGCGGACGGGUGAGUAACACGUGGAUAACCUACCUAUAAGACUGGGAUAACUUCGGGAAACCGGAGCUAAUACCGGAUGAUAUUUUGAACCGCAUGGUUCAAAAGUGAAAGACGGUCUUGCUGUCACUUAUAGAUGGAUCCGCGCUGCAUUAGCUAGUUGGUAAGGUAACGGCUUACCAAGGCAACGAUGCAUAGCCGACCUGAGAGGGUGAUCGGCCACACUGGAACUGAGACACGGUCCAGACUCCUACGGGAGGCAGCAGUAGGGAAUCUUCCGCAAUGGGCGAAAGCCUGACGGAGCAACGCCGCGUGAGUGAUGAAGGUCUUCGGAUCGUAAAGCUUUGUUAUUAGGGAAGAACAUAUGUGUAAGUAACUGUGCACAUCUUGACGGUACCUAAUCAGAAAGCCACGGCUAACUACGUG
rnacentral:rRNA from 1 species